rnacentral:rRNA from 1 species
AUGGACGUGGCAGAUUCUCCGGACUCCAUCUCCUGGCGCCUAGACCCCUCCGUCCGCUUCUCCACCAAAUCCCUCUACGCGGCCAUUGCCCCUUCGUCAGCCCCAGAGCCCUUUGGUCUUAUCUGGGACAUCCGCCUCCCACUUAAGAUUCGGAUCUUUCUUUGGCAAUGGAUCCGCGGCCGCCUCCCGACCGGCGUUGAGGUUCUUAAGCGCCAUGGUCCUGGCGAUGGAAUGUGCCCCCUGUGUGGCACGGUAGAGGACGCUAAUCACAUCUUCUUCCUGUGCUACACGGCACAGUUCCUUUGGUCUUGUUUCCGCGAAACGGUUGGGGGACAGUGGUGCAACACCAACUUCCCUGACCUGCUUGCGGAAAUUCAAGCCUCCCCCCCUCGCUACAGACAUAUUAGAUGGCUGUGCGUCGGGGUUCUAGCCUGGACCCUGUGGACGGUUCACAAUAAGCUUGUCAUUCAGAAGGUGCCCCUUCGGCGUGCGACUGACUCCAUCUUUAAAAUGUGUGGUUACUUGCAGCUCUGGCGGCCGCUUAGCCGCCCGCAGGACCGGGACGCAUCGACAGACUCCUCACCGACCUCCGUUCGUUGGCCUUUCGCCUGGCGCCUCCGCUCCCGCCGCCACCACCGGAGCCCGACUAGAGGAUGUUUCCCUCCUGGCGCUUGUGCCUUUGUGUGUGUGUGUGUUGGGCUUGUUGAGCUGUGCCCUCAGCAGUAA